AGCUCACUGGUCGAGUGAUCCUGCGCCGAAGAUUUCCGGGGCUAAAACUUACUACCGAAGCUACGGCAUCAGUAAUGAUGGGUAGGGGAGCUUCCCAUACGGGUUGAAGCAUGACCGUAAGGACAUGGGGACAGUAUGGGAGUGAGAAUGUUGGCAUGAGUAGCGAGAUGUGGGUGAGAAUCCCACAGGCCGUAAACCCAAGGUUUCCAGGGGAAGGU
rnacentral:rRNA from 1 species